AUUGAACGCUGGCGGCAGGCCUAACACAUGCAAGUCGAGCGGAUGAAGGGAGCUUGCUCCUGGAUUCAGCGGCGGACGGGUGAGUAAUGCCUAGGAAUCUGCCUGGUAGUGGGGUAUAACGUCCUGAAACGGGCGCUAAUACCGCAUACGUCCUGAGGGUGAAAGUGGGUGAUCUUCGGACCUCACGCUAUCAGAUGAGCCUAGGUCGGAUUAGCUAGUUGGUGGGGUAAAGGCCUACCAAGGCGACGAUCCGUAACUGGUCUGAGAGGAUGAUCAGUCAAACUGGAACGGAGACACGGUCCAGACUCCUACGGGAGGCAGCAGUGGGGAAUAUUGGACAAUGGGCGAAAGCCUGAUCCAGCAAUGCCGCGUGUGUGAAGAAGGUCUUCGGAUUGUAAAGCACUUUAAGUUGGGAGGAAGGGCAGUAAGUUAAUACCUUGCUGUUUUGACGUUACCAACAGAAUAAGCACCGGCUAACUUCGUG
rnacentral:rRNA from 1 species